rnacentral:rRNA from 1 species
ACAUUUCUUUAAGGUAUAUAUUUAAGGUAGGUUCUGCCCAAUGAUUGAUUUUAAAUGGCUGCAGUAUUUUGACUGUGCAAAGGUAGCAUAAUAAUUAGUUUCUUAAUUAGGGACUUGUAUGAAUGAAUUAAUGAGAAAUUUAUUUUAUUAAAAUUAUUUUUAGAAUUUAAUUUUUAAGUUAAAAAGCUUAAUUAUUUAUUUGGGACGAAAAGACCCUGUAGAACUUUAAAUUUUGUUUUUCUGUUAUUUUUUUAAUUAAUUAACAUUUAUUGAAUUUACAAUUUUUUUUGCUGGGGUGGUAAAUAAAUUUUUAAAACUUUAUUUUCUUUUUUCAUUAAUUUAUGAAUUUUUUGAUCCAAUUUCUUGAUUAUAAGAUUAAGUUACCUUAGGGAUAACAGCGUAAUUUUAAUGGGGAGUUCAUAUUUAUAUUAGAGUUUGCGACCUCGAUGUUGAAUUAAGAUAAUUAUAUGGGGUAGGUUCUAUGUGUAUAAGUCUGUUCGACUUUUAUAUUCUUACGUGAUCUG